rnacentral:piRNA from 1 species
UCCCUGGGAGGUCAAGAUUCGUCUGGUUC